rnacentral:rRNA from 1 species
GCUCCCUGGCCUUCGUGCCUCAGUGUCAGGAACUGUCCAGAGACCCGCCUUCGCCACUGGUCUUCCUCACGAUAUCUACGCAUUUCACUGCUACACCGUGAAUUCCAGUCUCCUCUCCAGUCCUCAAGCACGCCAGUAUCAAAUGCAGUUUCGGAGUUAAGCUCCGAAAUUUCACACCUGACUUAGCGCGCCACCUACGCACCCUUUACGCCCAAUG